UACGAGAGCCCCAAGCGUUAUCCGGAAUCAUUGGGCGUAAAGGGUGCGUAGGCGGCACAGUUAGUCUUGCGUUAAAACCAUGGGCUUAACCCAUGAGAUGCGUAGGAAACGGCUGAGCUAGAGGACGGGAGAGGUCUGUGGAACUCAUAGUGUAGGGGUGAAAUCCGUUGAUAUUAUGGGGAACACCAAAAGCGAAGGCAGCAGACUGGCCCGUUCCUGACGCUGAGGCACGAAAGCGUGGGUAGCGAAAGGG
rnacentral:misc_RNA from 1 species